rnacentral:rRNA from 1 species
GAUGAACGCUGGCGGCGUGCUUAACACAUGCAAGUCGAACGGAGUUCCUUGGAUAGAGGCUUCGGCCAAUUGAAUUGGAACUUAGUGGCGGACUGGUGAGUAACGCGUGAGGAACCUGCCUUUCAGAGGGGGACAACAGCUGGAAACGGCUGCUAAUACCGCAUGACACAUUCGAGUGGCAUCACUUGAAUGUCAAAGAUUUUAUCGCUGAAAGAUGGCCUCGCGUCUGAGUAGCUAGUUGGUGAGGUAACGGCCCACCAAGGCGACGAUCAGUAGCCGGACUGAGAGGUUGAUCGGCCACAUUGGGACUGAGAUACGGCCCAGACUCCUACGGGAGGCAGCAGUGGGGAAUAUUGGGCAAUGGACGCAAGUCUGACCCAGCAACGCCGCGUGAAGGAAGAAGGCUUUCGGGUUGUAAACUUCUUUUAAGUGGGAAGAGUAGAAGACGGUACCACUUGAAUAAGCCACGGCUAACUACGUGCCAGCAGCCGCGGUAACAC